rnacentral:rRNA from 1 species
UUAGGAAUAUUCGGCAAUGGGGGAAACCCUGACCGAGCAAUGCCGCGUGAGUGAUGAAGGCCCUUUGGGUCGUAAAACUCUGUUGUAAAGGAAGAACACUUAUUAUAGGUAAUGAUAAUAAGUUGACGGUACUUUGCCAGAAAGCCCCGGCUAACUACGUGCCAGCAGCCGCGGUAAUACGUAGGGGGCGAGCGUUAUCCGGAUUUAUUGGGCGUAAAGCGUGUGUAGGCGGUUUAUUAAGUCUAAGAUUAAAGCCCGAAGCUUAACUUCGGUUCGUCUUAGAAACUGGUAGACUUGAGUAUGGUAGAGGUAAAUGGAAUUUCUAGUGUAGCGGUUAAAUGCGUAGAUAUUAGAAGGAACACCAGUGGCGAAGGCGAUUUACUGGGCCAUUACUGACGCUGAGACACGAAAGCGUGGGGAGCAAAUA